GGUUGAUCCUGCCAGUAGCAUAUGCUUGUCUCAAAGAUUAAGCCAUGCAUGUCCAAGUAUAAACCUCUUUAUACCGCGAAACUGCGUACAGCUCAUUACAUCAGUUAUAAUUUCUUUGAAGGUUGAGUACUACAUGGAUACCCGUAGUAAUUCUAGAGCUAAUACAUGCGUAUGUUUCUGACUGCCCUGUGUGAAUGGGGUUGGGAGGAAAGUAUUUAUUAGAUUCAGACCCAUCUUUUGGAGGUGUUAAAGCCUCCAAAGUUUGCUGGUGAUUCAUGGUAACUGUUCGAAU
rnacentral:rRNA from 1 species